rnacentral:misc_RNA from 1 species
GUGUCCGGAUACAACUAAUAUUAUUUCAAUCUCAAUUCCUCUUGAUUCAAAAUUGAAGUUACAGAAUAUGGUCAGACAAAUCUCACACUGGUUCACUGCUGGUUUUCAUAAGAGAAAAAAAAAUGUGUUGUUUCCUGUAUUCAAUAAUUGAACCAUCCUAUGCACCAAUUUCUAUAGCUGCAUUCAAGAACCGAUAUUCUCGAUUUCGUGCCUCAGGCACUUCAGGCUACCCCUUCAAGCACCAAUAUUCUCAAUGUUAGCGCCCUUGUCCAUUCUCUUGACAAUGCCAGCAAUGACCUGACAAAAUAAUUCCAUAUAAACUUAAACAAGGUCUCAAGAGUUCAUAAUAGAAUGAGUUUUAUUGUUGCUCUUCAUUUCUAAUUAAAGCAUCCAGAGCACAUUAUACCUUUCCAGGUCCUAAUUCGUAACCCUUCUUCAGCCCUUUGGUUAGAAGUGUAUUCACGGUUGUUUCCCAUUGAACAGGAGAAGUCACCUACAAUUUUUUAAUUUAGGGUUCAAUAGUCAAUGGAGAAACAGAAGUUUUGAGUAGCUUACCUGGCGUGCUAAUAUCUUCUUGAUUGUGGCAGGAUCUGCAUGUGGCUGAGCAUCAACAUUGGAUAUAACCGGUAUUCUUGGAGGUUUAAUGUCUGUUGCUGCCAAUGCAGCUUCCAAUCUUGAGACAGCUGGUUCCAUGAAACUUGUAUGGAAAGCACCAGCAACAGCUAGCCGCACCGUCAUUCGAGCUUUGAAAGACUUUGCCUUUGCUUCUACUGCUUCCACUCCCUUCACACCACCAGAUACAGCAUAAUUCCCAGGACAUAGGUAAUUUGCAAUCUGAACUUUAUUAGCUUCAUCGACAUCUUGAUUGGCAGCAUCACACAACUGUUGCACUUUGUCAGAGUCCAGUCCAAUGACACUGACCAUCGCACUUUUUGCAGUAUCAGCUGCUUCCUGAAGGCAAUUUCAUAAAAAUUAAUUACCAUGGAAUGUCAUAAACUGCAUAAUACUAUGAUAGAUUUUGUCUGUUAACCAGCUAUUGAUGCCUACCUGCAUGGCUUCACCCCUCAGUUUGACCAGCUUGAGUCCAUCCUCAAAGCUUACAAUAAUAUUAAAAAAAAAAAUGAAAAGGAGAUACCAAGUAAGAAAAAGUCAGGGACCAUUUGACCAUCUGCUGUCUAUAAAGCAUAUUCAACUUCUACUCAAACAGAAAAAAUGAUGCACCAACUGAACAUUAGUUUGGACUGCCCAAAUUGAUACAUAAAAAUUCAGCAUGAGAAAUGAGAUGCAACCUAAUAAUGACCCAGAAAGGUUAUUAACAUUUAACAAUCAGACUGCGACAGAAUCAUCAGGUUCAUUUCCAUUCUGUAAUAGAUAUGCUUGACUCAGAAUUAUUCGGGACGUAUAAGAAGAUUGAUCCAAGAAGGUAAGAAGCUUAUAAACUAAUUUUUGCAAAUUCAUCUAAUUAAAGCCGGUUCAAUUUACAGACUCGAUUAAUCAAAGACGCGGUGAACUUGGAAAUUUAGUUAGAUACUCACCUGAAAGCUCCAGCAAAUGCUAGAGCAGUAUACUCUCCCAAGCUGAGACCACAUGUAACAUCAACAGAAUCAAUUAUCUGCUGACCUCCAUCACGUUCUCGAAGCACCUCAACUGCAGCUAGACUGGUUACAUAAAUAGCAGGCUGGCUUAUCACAGUUGAAUCCAGCUUCUCCUUUGGACCACUGCUGCAGAGCUCUAGAAGAUCAUACCCUAAUAUAUCAUUUGCUUUCUUGUACAAGUCGGCUGCAGCUGGCACACUUUGAGAGUCCUUUCCCAUUCCAAUGGCUUGUGCACCCUGACCAGGAAAUAGAAAAGCAAAGUUAGGCUUGUAAUUAGCGAAGAAUAAGUCAUCAACAACUCCAAUGGUUUGAGAUCCAACAGAUACACUCAUAAAAACCCUAGAUCGACUAAGAUUUUUGACACCAAACCCUCGAAUUCCAUUCCUAGUGCAGCCGGUGAGGGAAUCGGAGGCAGUGAAAGAUAGGCUUUUGAAAGAAACGGAAGGGAGAGCGAAAGAAUACGCCAUGGGAAAUGCUGAUAAUGACGAGAAUGAGAUUACAAGGGAAGAGGGCGGGCGGAAGAUGCGAGGAUGGUUAAGGAGAGAGCACAUGCGAUUUUGAGCACAGAGAGCUUUUUGGGUCUUAUAAGAUGCAGUGGGUGUGAGGUGGGUAGGGUACCGAGUACGUUAGCGGAGUUUACAAAGCGAAACAGAGAGGGAC